UACAGAGGGUGCGAGCGUUGUCCGGAAUCACUGGGCGUAAAGGGCGCGUAGGUGGCCCGACAAGUCAGUGGUGAAAGCUCGGCGCUCAACGUCGAGUCGGCCACUGAUACUGUUGGGCUGGAGCACUGUAGAGGCAGAUGGAAUUCCGGGUGUAGCGGUGGAAUGCGUAGAGAUCCGGAAGAACACCGGUGGCGAAGGCGGUCUGCUGGGCAGUUGCUGACACUGAGGCGCGACAGCGUGGGGAGCAAACAGG
rnacentral:rRNA from 1 species